GGAACGCUGGCGGCAGCCUACACUUACAGUGAACGGAUCUCCGGGAUUAGAUGGCGGACGGGUAGUAAGGAACGUGCCCUUGGUUCGGAACAACUCAGGAAACUUGAGCUAAUACCGGAUGUGCCCUUCGGGGGAAAGAUUUAUCGCCAUUGGAGCGGCCCGCGUCUGAUUAGCUAGUUGGUGGGGUAAAGGCCCACCAAGGCGACGAUCAGUAGCUGGUCUGAGAGGAUGAUCAGCCACAUUGGGACUGAGACACGGCCCAAACUCCUACGGGAGGCAGCAGUGGGGAAUCUUGCGCAAUGGGCGAAAGCCUGACGCAGCCAUGCCGCGUGAAUGAUGAAGGUCUUAGGAUUGUAAAAUUCUUUCACCGGGGACGAUAUGACGUCCCGGAGAAAAGCCCGGCUAAUUCGUGCCACAGCCGCGGUAAUACGAAGGGGGCUAGCGUUGCUCGGAAUUAUUGGGCGUAAAGGGAGCGUCAGAGCGAUACAAGUUAAAGGGAAAGCCAUGGCUCAACUUGGAAUUGCUU
rnacentral:rRNA from 1 species